rnacentral:rRNA from 1 species
UUCUCACCGUAAACGAUGCCAACUAGCGAUCCGCCGGUGGAUUUUUAGCCCUGGUGGCUAGCUUCCCGGAAACGAAAGUCUUCCGGUUCCGGGGGAAGUAUGGUUGCAAAGCUGAAACUUAAAGGAAUUGACGGAAGGGCACCACCAGGAGUGGAGCCUGCGGCUUAAUUUGACUCAACACGGGGAAACUCACCCGGCCCGGACACCGUAAGGAUUGACAGAUUGAUAGCUCUUUCAUGAUUCGGUGGUUGGUGGUGCAUGGCCGUUCUUAGUUCGUGGAUCGAUUUGUCUGGUUUAUUCCGAUAACGAGCGAGACUCUAGCCUACUAAAUAGUAACGAGAUUAUCAAUGUCUCAGUUGCUUCUUAGAGGGAUUUUCGGUGUUUAGCCGCACGAGAUUGAGCAAUAACAGGUCUGUGAUGCCCUUAGAUGUCCGGGGCUGCACGCGCGCUACACUGGCGAAAUCAGCGUGCUGUAUCCAUUCUCGAAAGGGAUUGGUAAACCCAUGAAAAUUUGCCGUGCUUGGGAUCGGAAAUUGCAAUUAUUUUCCGUGAACGAGGAAUUCCAAGUAAGUGCGAGUCAUCAACUCGCUCUG